UACAGAGGGGGCAAGCGUUGUUCGGAAUUAUGGGGCGUAAAGGGCGCGUAGGCGGUGCGGUAAGUCACUUGUGAAAUCUCUGGGCUCAACUCAGAGUCUGCAGGCGAAACUGCCGUGCUUGAGUGUGGGAGAGGUAUGUGGAAUUCCCGGUGUAGCGGUGAAAUGCGUAGAGAUCGGAAGGAACACCAGUGGCGAAGGCGGCUACCUGGACAGAUACUGACGCUGAGGCGCGAGAGCGUGGGGAGCAAACAGG
rnacentral:rRNA from 1 species